UCCCAGGUAGACUAGUGGUUAAGAUUUGGCAUUGUCACUGCUGUGGCUCAGGUUCGAUCCCUGGCCUGGAAA
rnacentral:tRNA from 1 species